CAAGUGCAUAAAAAUGAUACACAGCAUUUUAGAUAUUCAUGACAGGGCGAAAAUAUAAUUAAUUGCUAGAAAACUGAAAUUUGACAGUUCUAAAGCAGAUUUUACAUUGACAUGUUGUUAUGAAUUAUGUUAUGUUCUGAGUCCAUGUUUUAUUAAGUCCAUUUGUCAUGGGUGAAAGGAAGAGUAUUUGUCAGUUUUAUUGCACUUUGAAUUAUAACACAUUCGGCUUAUUGAUCAAAUCAUGAAUUAAAUGAAAACAGACUGACCUGAGUUUUAAGUAGGUGUAGUUUUUGAAAUUUAAACUGCUUCAUUAGCUGAUGCAUCAAUGUAAGUUUGACAGAAGAGAUGAUUUAUUCGAGAUGUAUGCAUUCAUUUGUAUCUUUUGAUGUUGGAAUGAAAAAAGACAUUAAACGAAACCUUGUUUCAAGAUUUGUGUUUGAGAUUAAAGCAUGUCCUUUUUUCAUCAGAUUUGAUGACCAAAGUCAACUGGAAGCCAUCAUUGUGAUUGAGGAAUUCUGUAAGGAGUUGUCAGCCAUUGCUUUUGUGAAGCAUCAUGCUGCAGUGACCAGAAGCUAGGAGGAGUACAGUGUCCAUGACCUUGGGGAGGACAGUGACCAGGUCAUAGGAGGAGGACAGUGUCCAGGACCUUGAGGAGGACAGUGACCAGGUCAUAGGAGGAGGACAGUGUCCAGGACCUUGAGGAGGACAGUGACCAGGUCAUUGGACAGUGUGAAGGAUAUCUUACUCAUCAUACAAGAUUAAUGUCAUUGAUGAUGAUGGCCCUGGAGGGCAAAUGCAGAACAUGUUGCAAAUGGUGUUCUCCAAACUUCUGUUUCCUUAAUGGCUUAUUGUAUUGGUAAUCAUUUAAUAAUUUCAUGAUGACAUUGAAUUUCUUCUAAUACUGGCAACAAUUAUGGCAUUUCAGAAUGCAUGUUCUCCUUUCAUUUACAGUCAGGCAAUGGAAAUGUUGAGACAAUAACUGUAUGAAGGUAAAUUCUUUCACCACAAUACCACAGUCAAUCAUUUGUGUCAGAUGGUUUCAUUUCUGUCACAAGAACGUUAUAGAAUCUCAUAAAGGUAUCAAAUGACAAUAGUAAACCUGUCAUUACCAGUUUGGUGUUCUUCAACUUAUUUUGAGAAGUAUAUGUCGAAAAUGUCAGAGACAAAAGUACGGAAUAGAUAUAUAAGUGUAUAUGUUUGUCUCCUUUCACAUGCACACUGGGUUAGACCAUUUGGUAUUGUCCACAUGUUGCCAGAUUCCUUGUUAUCCUAUGUAGUUAUGUUAUAUACAGUCUAUGAUGGGGUACAGGUGGGUGAAAUGUAUGAUGUCCACCCCUGCCUGAAGUAUUAUUGUUAGAUUAAUAUAACUCUUGCAAUACACUGAUAAGAUGUACUGCUCCUGUGAAAUUCCUGCCCCAGCUCAUCCAGUCCAUUGCUCUGUUCUGUUUGGAUAGUAGUCCAUUACAUAGCAAUCUCAUCCCAAAGAUGAUCUUACAUUAACAUAGUGAUAGCUAGAGCACCAAGAUCACUUGCAGGAAUGGUGCCCAUGUCAAGUUUGAAAAGGCUGUAUACAAGGACAUGUUUGGGAUGGGAACUGUUGUCUCCAGUCAUGUUAUGGACCUAUUGAGCGUUUUAUUUCAAAACAAGAUCCUUCAAGAUACAAUCAUUGUCUGUGAAAAUGCCUGAGUAUUAGUAUAUUAUUGAACGUCAGAGUAUAUGAACAGAAAUGUUCAGCACUUCAUAUAAAGACAUCACUAUGAUUUUAUUGUCCUUCACGGCAGCAUUGAUGAAUGUUGGAUUCAUUGAUCACCGCUUCAUUCCUAAUGUUUGAAAGUGGGUAUGUAUUGCUAUGAAUGUUCUCAAUGAUAUCAGUGUUCUUCCAGGAGGGUGCCUUAGUUUUGAUCCAGUUAUCAAAUGCAGGAGUCUGCAGGACCAAUAUCAGUUAUGCAUUCACUUGCCACUGCAUCAUAUUACAACGACGAAGACUCUUUAUGACUGAUCCAAGUUCCAUAUCUGUCGGUUAUAUAUCACAUUGACUCGUGAACCACACUUCUAGAUUAUGUAUAUAGUUUAUGUCCUUUGUUAUCAGAGUGUUAAUAAUUUCACUUCUAUUCAUUGUUGUGUGUUUCAUUAUGAGUGAGUAUAUACGUGACCUUUGAUUAAGAACUGUCCAUCCUUGACAAACUGAACUUCAGGAAUGUACAGCCAUUACUCAUGGAGCUGACGCAAGGUAUACGUACUGAUUUGUUGGUUGUUAGUUUCAACAAUGCUGGAAUAUUGCUGAGUGCGGUGUAAAACUAAACUCACUCACUCGCUCACUAUUAUCCCAAUAAUGCAGUGAUAUAUGAUAAUUAUCAAGCCAGUAAUCACUUAUGACUCUGGCUUCAGUAUAUGGUGUAUCCAUCUCAAUCAUGAAUGACAUUUGAAAGGCGUCUGCUUGUACCACUGAUCAGACGUCUAACUCUCAACAUUGGAAUCCUCUGCUGUUCCGCCAUACAUUUUCCAGCAGUAAAUGACACGUUUGGAUUCCAUUGUAGGUCCUUAAUGUUUUCGAAAUGAAUUUUGGUGUCUUAUUGAUGCAGUUCCAUCAGAUCAGAUCAGCUCCAUUUGGCAUGAGUACAACUGACACAACUUACAGAUAAGAUGAGGUUCUACUGUUUGUCAUUAUUUGGGGGAAAUGAGAAAGGAGCCUAACUAAAGCUCAUGUGUAUAUUGUAGGAUCCCCUUAUGAACGUUACGACAAUGUGAGCGGUUGUUUGACAUUAUUAUUAUUUACUGGUUUUAUCAUGUUUAUCCCUGGUGUGCCAAAUCAACUCAUGUGCAAUAUGUUUCGUUGGUCCAUGUCGGUCUUCCAAUAAUGACCUGUUUUAUUUUACACGUACAUGCACUGCAUGUACAGUUGUAAUCUGUUUAUUUCAGUGUUCUAAUUACCACAUACAGAUUAAUGUCUGGGGACACACCUUUUGAUAUUCUUGGGUUUGGUGUCAAUCCUAAUUGGGAUUUAUUUUCAUGACAGUCAGCAUGUCUAGCAAAUAAUCGUAUGUGAGUGGUAAAACUUGAAGAGAAACUAUUCCCAACCAUACCUAGAAAUUUAUCUAGGAUUCCACACUGAUCCCCCUUUGGGAAGAAAAUGGAGGAAAUUGUUAUUUUGUUCAAAAUUGAAUUCUCUAUAUCAUUCCUUAAUUUCCAAAUUUCAAAAAUAAUAUGUUGACACUGAAUUUUGACAUUGCUUUCAGUGAAAUAAUUUGGAAUUAGGCAUUAAGGCUUCAUCUUUUAUUUUGGUCCAGUUCUUAAUGAAAUACAAGUCAUCUGACAAGCCAUAAUGCUGAGUUAGUAUUGAUGUAACACCCAGAAUAUGGGGAAAACUGGACCAUUUCAUUUCAGUCAAGAUUUAAGAUAUAAAAAUGGAUAUUAUUCCUAUUUCAGAUUACAUGUAAUAAUUCAGUAACUUUAGAUUUUGUUUACCAUGUCUCAAGACAAUUAACCACUGUUCCACACAUCUGAGUACACAUUGUGUCUCAAGCCACUUAUAAAUUUUAGAUGUGUAUUUUAAUAUUAUUGUAGCUCGCAUUGUACACUGUGAUCUUCAUUACUUCACAAUGGUGCUAGUCCUUACUGGUUUUGAAGCAAUGUUAUUUGAAUAAGAUCAAUCACGCAUAGUGAUUUGAUUCCUUUCAGAGAAAACCAUGCUUGAAUUUAUAUAAAAACUGUAUGUAUGAUUUUUAGAAGAUAAAAUAUCUUCACUGUUCCAAAGAUGUAUCAAGUCCAAUGUUUCCUUCUGAGGAGUUUUGUUUGUGCAUGGAAAAGGCAUAGAACCAUGUAAACUAGCCUGAGUUAUACCCAGCUAUUAGCCUACAGGUUGUGUUAUGGUUCAGUCAGUAGAAGCUACAUCAGUUGAAGGUAAUCUUGAAAGGACAUAUAUUUGUCUUCAGAGGAUGUAGAUAAUGUUAUUAGCUGUUACUGAGUGUUUCUACAUUGUUCUGAUCGGUUGAAGGAAAUGUGGUCAGCACAUGGACUAGUCUUCAAAGGGAUAUAGUCAGUGAUGUUUGUUAUUGGGAUGAAGAUCUUAAGAAUACCUAAUGUAACAUGAAUGAAUAAAUUGUGAUAUAUUGGGGUUGCUCUUUUGCUUUGAAUGUUCCGUCUUGAUCAGUUACAACUGUUUAUAAAUACUUUGAACAU